UCGCAAGAAUCCUUAUCGGGAAAUUUCAAAUCAAUGCUCUUUGUUACUAGGGGCCCUCACUCCGUUCAGGAAGUUCCCGAUAGGGUCCGGCCUGGUCGCCAAUUCGCCACAGAAUCUCGGAAACCGUUUGCUCUUCCGGCAAAACUGACGGCUGAGGAUCCGACUAAUCAAGAAAAGCAAGUUAGUUAUAUCGAUGGGCGUACAGUUUGUUUAAUCCAUCUAUUGGUAUUCUUCAUGGUUUAACCAACAAGUAUCAUCAAUCAAUCCCGCUGAAAAGUGAAGAACACCUAGUUUUUAAGAAUAAAGAUUGAGUGCUACUGCUAAACACCACCUGCCAGUUCCAAGCACAGAUUCAUUGGGCAAAGCAAACGAAAGAGUCCAUCCUUGAAACCGUCAAGUGACGCUUCCCUUUGCAGUACCUUUUUCGCUUACCAAAGACGUCGGAGCUGUUCUUCACUUUUAGAAGCCUACGUACCCUUUCCUACAGUCUUACUUUAUGUAAAUGGCAUAACGCUUCGAAUGGCCUUACGCUUGUUUUUGGGCGACAUCCGAACGUUCCAAAAGAACUAGAUUAACAAUUGGGCGAAAAAGGGUAAUUCUACAAGGGAGAGCAACAACAACCCACCUGGCUGCACAUUAACAAUACGAAUAGUCAACAAGUCAUCACGUGAACUCCUCUUAAAAAACGAGUUUA